UUAAGCGACUAAGCGUACACGGUGGAUGCCCUGGCAGUCAGAGGCGAUGAAGGACGUGCUAAUCUGCGAUAAGCGUCGGUAAGGUGAUAUGAACCGUUAUAACCGGCGAUUUCCGAAUGGGGAAACCCAGUGUGAUUCGUCACACUAUCAUUAACUGAAUCCAUAGGUUAAUGAGGCGAACCGGGGGAACUGAAACAUCUAAGUACCCCGAGGAAAAGAAAUCAACCGAGAUUCCCCCAGUAGCGGCGAGCGAACGGGGAGCAGCCCAGAGCCUGAAUCAGUGUGUGUGUUAGUGGAAGCGUCUGGAAAGGCGCGCGAUACAGGGUGACAGCCCCGUACACAAAAAUGCACAUGCUGUGAGCUCGAUGAGUAGGGCGGGACACGUGGUAUCCUGUCUGAAUAUGGGGGGACCAUCCUCCAAGGCUAAAUACUCCUGACUGACCGAUAGUGAACCAGUACCGUGAGGGAAAGGCGAAAAGAACCCCGGCGAGGGGAGUGAAAAAGAACCUGAAACCGUGUACGUACAAGCAGUGGGAGCACGCUUAGGCGUGUGACUGCGUACCUUUUGUAUAAUGGGUCAGCGACUUAUAUUCUGUAGCAAGGUUAACCGAAUAGGGGAGCCGAAGGGAAACCGAGUCUUAACUGGGCGUUAAGUUGCAGGGUAUAGACCCGAAACCCGGUGAUCUAGCCAUGGGCAGGUUGAAGGUUGGGUAACACUAACUGGAGGACCGAACCGACUAAUGUUGAAAAAUUAGCGGAUGACUUGUGGCUGGGGGUGAAAGGCCAAUCAAACCGGGAGAUAGCUGGUUCUCCCCGAAAGCUAUUUAGGUAGCGCCUCGUGAAUUCAUCUCCGGGGGUAGAGCACUGUUUCGGCAAGGGGGUCAUCCCGACUUACCAACCCGAUGCAAACUGCGAAUACCGGAGAAUGUUAUCACGGGAGACACACGGCGGGUGCUAACGUCCGUCGUGAAGAGGGAAACAACCCAGACCGCCAGCUAAGGUCCCAAAGUCAUGGUUAAGUGGGAAACGAUGUGGGAAGGCCCAGACAGCCAGGAUGUUGGCUUAGAAGCAGCCAUCAUUUAAAGAAAGCGUAAUAGCUCACUGGUCGAGUCGGCCUGCGCGGAAGAUGUAACGGGGCUAAACCAUGCACCGAAGCUGCGGCAGCGACGCUUAUGCGUUGUUGGGUAGGGGAGCGUUCUGUAAGCCUGUGAAGGUGUGCUGUGAGGCAUGCUGGAGGUAUCAGAAGUGCGAAUGCUGACAUAAGUAACGAUAAAGCGGGUGAAAAGCCCGCUCGCCGGAAGACCAAGGGUUCCUGUCCAACGUUAAUCGGGGCAGGGUGAGUCGACCCCUAAGGCGAGGCCGAAAGGCGUAGUCGAUGGGAAACAGGUUAAUAUUCCUGUACUUGGUGUUACUGCGAAGGGGGGACGGAGAAGGCUAUGUUGGCCGGGCGACGGUUGUCCCGGUUUAAGCGUGUAGGCUGGUUUUCCAGGCAAAUCCGGAAAAUCAAGGCUGAGGCGUGAUGACGAGGCACUACGGUGCUGAAGCAACAAAUGCCCUGCUUCCAGGAAAAGCCUCUAAGCAUCAGGUAACAUCAAAUCGUACCCCAAACCGACACAGGUGGUCAGGUAGAGAAUACCAAGGCGCUUGAGAGAACUCGGGUGAAGGAACUAGGCAAAAUGGUGCCGUAACUUCGGGAGAAGGCACGCUGAUAUGUAGGUGAAGUCCCUCGCGGAUGGAGCUGAAAUCAGUCGAAGAUACCAGCUGGCUGCAACUGUUUAUUAAAAACACAGCACUGUGCAAACACGAAAGUGGACGUAUACGGUGUGACGCCUGCCCGGUGCCGGAAGGUUAAUUGAUGGGGUCAGCGCAAGCGAAGCUCUUGAUCGAAGCCCCGGUAAACGGCGGCCGUAACUAUAACGGUCCUAAGGUAGCGAAAUUCCUUGUCGGGUAAGUUCCGACCUGCACGAAUGGCGUAAUGAUGGCCAGGCUGUCUCCACCCGAGACUCAGUGAAAUUGAACUCGCUGUGAAGAUGCAGUGUACCCGCGGCAAGACGGAAAGACCCCGUGAACCUUUACUAUAGCUUGACACUGAACAUUGAGCCUUGAUGUGUAGGAUAGGUGGGAGGCUUAGAAGUGUGGACGCCAGUCUGCAUGGAGCCGACCUUGAAAUACCACCCUUUAAUGUUUGAUGUUCUAACGUUGACCCGUAAUCCGGGUUGCGGACAGUGUCUGGUGGGUAGUUUGACUGGGGCGGUCUCCUCCUAAAGAGUAACGGAGGAGCACGAAGGUUGGCUAAUCCUGGUCGGACAUCAGGAGGUUAGUGCAAUGGCAUAAGCCAGCUUGACUGCGAGCGUGACGGCGCGAGCAGGUGCGAAAGCAGGUCAUAGUGAUCCGGUGGUUCUGAAUGGAAGGGCCAUCGCUCAACGGAUAAAAGGUACUCCGGGGAUAACAGGCUGAUACCGCCCAAGAGUUCAUAUCGACGGCGGUGUUUGGCACCUCGAUGUCGGCUCAUCACAUCCCGGGGCUGAAGUAGGUCCCAAGGGUAUGGCUGUUCGCCAUUUAAAGUGGUACGCGAGCUGGGUUUAGAACGUCGUGAGACAGUUCGGUCCCUAUCUGCCGUGGGCGCUGGAGAACUGAGGGGGGCUGCUCCUAGUACGAGAGGACCGGAGUGGACGCAUCACUGGUGUUCGGGUUGUCAUGCCAAUGGCACUGCCCGGUAGCUAAAUGCGGAAGAGAUAAGUGCUGAAAGCAUCUAAGCACGAAACUUGCCCCGAGAUGAGUUCUCCCUGACCCUUUAAGGGUCCUGAAGGAACGUUGAAGACGACGACGUUGAUAGGCCGGGUGUGUAAGCGCAGCGAUGCGUUGAGCUAACCGGUACUAAUGAACCGUGAGGCUUAACCUU
rnacentral:rRNA from 1 species